ACCUUGCCUGGACCGAUAGGAGUUUUCUUCUCUGACAUUUUGAAAUAAACACGUAUGUAGAAACACACAAACUAAAACAGCAAGUUAAAUUUUAACUCAGGGUUGUCACUAGUCCAGCUUUGAACAACCGGCCCCAGAGUAAUUACACAUACGGUACUAUAACUUAUACUUACUUAUACUUACGGUACUAUUACUUAUUUAAAAUUUCCUAAUAUUAUAUAAUUAUAUUAUUUAUGGCUAGAAAUAAAUAAUGAGUAUCUAAAAGUCAAUAAUUGUUAAUUGUCAAGUCUCACUCAGCUGGUUUGCUUUUAGUUACUGCUCUUCGAGCCCCACAGCAUUUGUCCUGUACCAUUUUUGAAAACUGCAUAGCAGCUGUCUUUCUGUAGACUGUAUCAUCC